GACGAACGCUGGCGGCGUGCUUAACACAUGCAAGUCGAGCGGUAAGGCUCCUUCGGGGGUACACGAGCGGCGAACGGGUGAGUAACACGUGAGUAAUCUGCCCCUCCCUUCGGGAUAAGCCUCGGAAACGAGGUCUAAUACCGGAUACGACCACUUCCUGCAUGGGAUGGGGGUGGAAAGUUUUUUUCGGUGGGGGAUGUGCUCGCGGCCUCUCAGCUGGGUGGUGGGGUAAUGGCCUACCAAGGCUUCGACGGGUAGCCGGCCUGAGAGGGGGACCGGCCACACUGGGACUGGGACACGGCCCAGACUCCUACGGGAGGCAGCAGUGGGGAAUAUUGGACAAUGGGCGGAAGCCUGAUCCAGCAACGCCGCGUGAGGGAUGACGGCCUUCGGGUUGUAAACCUCUUUCAGCGGGGACGAAGCGCAAGUGACGGUACCCGCAGAAGAAGCACCGGCCAACUACGUGCCAGCCGCCGCUGUAAAAC
rnacentral:rRNA from 1 species